ACUGCGACGCCAAGCUUUCAUUAUUUUUUGAAUAUACAUAGUUCAAUAAGGAAGACACGAGCCUGAACACGCUGUCAGCUGUCGAUGUAUUUUUAUUAUAUUUUACAUAUAUACAUAAAUGGCGUCAAACUUAAAUCUUCCGUUAAUUUUGGGACACCCUGUAUAAUCAAGCUAACAAUGCGACAAAUCAGAAAUCGAAAGAAAUCAGCUGACAUUUAUUCGCUGAAUUAAGGAAAAUAACUUAACAAUGAUGUUCGAAUCUUGUGCAAUAAAAGUUCUUAGAGGUCGGAAUAUGAAGGUCGAAUAAAUCAAGUUUGCGCAAUACGAUAACCAAUGGUUUUUGGUCUAAGAAGAGAAGGUGGAAACCCGAAAUGAUCGAGUUUAAAGUGAAGUAAAGAAUGCGAGACCUUGUCAAAUGCUUUGCUGAAGUCAGUGUAGAUAAGAUCUGUUUGAUUACCAUUUUUGAAACCAUUGCUGACAUGGGUGGUGAAAUCUAGCAGGUUCGAUUGCAAAACCCAUGUUGUGAGAUGUCUAUAAUUGAUGACACUGAAUGGGUAUAUGGUAUAUAUAGAGAUUCAGCACAAAAUGUAACUACUCUAGUAGGAACUAGGACCGCAUGUGAGUGAGCGCUUAAGGGCAUUAAAAUGGUGAUAAACAACAUCAGAGGAUAUAUGUGAUACUGGUAUUGCCAUAAAAUCUUUCCCUCGCAACAUAUUUUUAUUCUAUUCAUGCAAUAAAUAAUUUACUGUCAGAAUUCUCACAAUCAAGCAAUUAAAUGAAGGAUUUAUUUAGUUUGAAGAAAUAUAAAGUAUUUAAGA